rnacentral:rRNA from 2 species
CCGCGUGAGUGAAGAAGGGUUUCGGCUCGUAAAACUCUGUUGUUAAAGAAGAACAUAUCUGAGAGUAACUGUUCAGGUAUUGACGGUAUUUAACCAGAAAGCCACGGCUAACUACGUGCCAGCAGCCGCGGUAAUACGUAGGUGGCAAGCGUUGUCCGGAUUUAUUGGGCGUAAAGCGAGCGCAGGCGGUUUUUUAAGUCUGAUGUGAAAGCCUUCGGCUCAACCGAAGAAGUGCAUCGGAAACUGGGAAACUUGAGUGCAGAAGAGGACAGUGGAACUCCAUGUGUAGCGGUGAAAUGCGUAGAUAUAUGGAAGAACACCAGUGGCGAAGGCGGCUGUCUGGUCUGUAACUGACGCUGAGGCUCGAAAGUAUGGGUAGCAAACAGGAUUAGAUACCCUGGUAGUCCAUACCGUAAACGAUGAAUGCUAAGUGUUGGAGGGUUUCCGCCCUUCAGUGCUGCAGCUAACGCAUUAAGCAUUCCGCC